CUUCUUCAUAGCUUCUCAAAAUAACACAAAGUUGAGAUCAAGCUCCACCUUUAUUUCUUUAUAAAGUGGAACAAAUGUCUGAAAUUUUACCAACCUUCAUCUUCUCAAAUUAAUGGUCUAUUGUAGAAGAAGGAGGACACAUCUAAUUAUCACCAUCUUCAUCUCUUUUGUGUAGGAAUCCAUUUUCAGGUUAGCUCUGUGGUGGAAAGGAUGCCUACAUGUAUUAUGUGUUACGGGCGAGGCGAGGACUUCUUUUGGAAAUACAUUUUGUAAAUUAGUUAUUCGUAAAUUAAAUUGUAAUAAUUUCAUAAUAUUUUGUAAAUAGUAUUUACUUAGUUAGGUAAAAAGUUUUAAAUAACUUUGAUAUUAGUUUGUUGUGAUCAUCGAGUCACAGGUCGGAUUUAAUCCAAACCACUAUAAGUCUUCCACUGUGUUGUGGACGGUAUUAUUAUACUGUUUACGUUAGUCUGGGCUGUUUCAACCGGCCUCUAGUUGAUGAACGCUCGAGACCUCUUGAGGACCGACUGCUUGAUCCUCCAGAAGAGCUACCUCGGUGGCCCGAACCCCGA